UACGGGGGGGCAAGCGUUGUUCGGAAUUACUGGGCGUAAAGGGCUCGUAGGCGGCCAACUAAGUCGGACGUGAAAUCCCUCGGCUUAACCGGGGAACUGCAUCCGAUACUGGAAGGCUCGAGUUUGGGAGAGGGAUGCGGAAUUCCAGGUGUAGCGGUGAAAUGCGUAGAUAUCUGGAGGAACACCGGUGGCGAAGGCGGCAUCCUGGACCAAUUCUGACACUGAGGAGCGAAAGCCAGGGGAGCAAACGGG
rnacentral:rRNA from 1 species